rnacentral:rRNA from 1 species
GAGGGGGACCUUGAUCCAGCAAUGCCGCGUGGUGUGAAGAAGGCCUUCGGGUUGUAAAGCACUUUUGUCCGGAAAGAAAUCGUGGGGGCUAAUACGUGCAGGGGGAUGACGGUACCGGAAGAAUAAGCACCGGCUAACUACGUGCCAGCAGCCGCGGUAAUACGA